rnacentral:rRNA from 1 species
GCUCGAGCGGCGAACGGGUGAGCAACACGUGAGUAACCUGCCCUUGACUUUGGGAUAACUUCAGGAAACUGGGGCUAAUACCGGAUAGGAGCUCCUGCUGCAUGGUGGGGGUUGGAAAGUUUCGGCGGUUGGGGAUGGACUCGCGGCUUAUCAGCUUGUUGGUGGGGUAGUGGCUUACCAAGGCUUUGACGGGUAGCCGGCCUGAGAGGGUGACCGGCCACAUUGGGACUGAGAUACGGCCCAG